AGUGAACGCUGGCGGUAGGCCUAACACAUGCAAGUCGAACGGCAGCACAGUAAGAGCUUGCUCUUACGGGUGGCGAGUGGCGGACGGGUGAGGAAUACAUCGGAAUCUACUUUUUCGUGGGGGAUAACGUAGGGAAACUUACGCUAAUACCGCAUACGACCUACGGGUGAAAGCAGGGGAUCUUCGGACCUUGCGCGAUUGAAUGAGCCGAUGUCGGAGUAGCUAGUUGGCGGGGUAAAGGCCCACCAAGGCGACGAUCCGUAGCUGGUCUGAGAGGAUGAUCAGCCACACUGGAACUGAGACACGGUCCAGACUCCUACGGGAGGCAGCAGUGGGGAAUAUUGGACAAUGGGCGCAAGCCUGAUCCAGCGAUACCGCGUGGGUGAAGAAGGCCUUCGGGUUGUAAAGCCCUUUUGUUGGGAAAGAAAAGCAGCAGGUUAAUACCACGCUGUUCUGACGGUACCCAAAGAAUAAGCACCGGCUAACUUCGUG
rnacentral:rRNA from 1 species